rnacentral:rRNA from 1 species
GACGAACGCUGGCGGCGUGCCUAAUACAUGCAAGUUGAGCGCUGAAGGUUGGUACUUGUACCAACUGGAUGAGCAGCGAACGGGUGAGUAACGCGUGGGGAAUCUGCCUUUGAGCGGGGGACAACAUUUGGAAACGAAUGCUAAUACCGCAUAAAAACUUUAAACACAAGUUUUAAGUUUGAAAGAUGCAAUUGCAUCACUCAAAGAUGAUCCCGCGUUGUAUUAGCUAGUUGGUGAGGUAAAGGCUCACCAAGGCGAUGAUACAUAGCCGACCUGGGAGAGUGAUCGGCCACAUUGGGACUGAGACACGGCCCAAACUCCUACGGGAGGCAGCAGUAGGGAAUCUUCGGCAAUGGACGAAAGUCUGACCGAGCAACGCCGCGUGAGUGAAGAAGGUUUUCGGAUCGUAAAACUCUGUUGGUAGAGAAGAACGUUGGUGAGAGUGGAAAGCUCAUCAAGUGACGGUAACUACCCAGAAAGGGACGGCUAACUACGUG